rnacentral:rRNA from 1 species
GUAGUCUCGCACAGAUGCAUAUCAAUAAGCGGAGGAAAAGAAGCUAACAAGGAUUCCCCUAGUAACGGCGAGUGAAGCGGGAAGAGCUCAAAUUUGAAAUCUUAAAGGGUUUCCCUUUACGAAUUGUAGUUUAAAGAAGUGUUUUCUGUUGAGGUUUUGGUAAAAGUUCUUUGGAAUAGGACAUCAUAGAGGGUGAGAAUCCCGUAUUUGACCUUUACUUUCAACUUUGUGAUACACUUUCAAAGAGUCGGAUUGUUUGGGAAUGCAGUCCAAAAUGGGUGGUAAAUUUCAUCUAAAGCUAAAUAUUGGCGAGAGACCGAUAGCGAACAAGUACCGUGAGGGGAAGAUGAAAAGAACUUUGAAAAGAGAGUUAAACAGUACGUGAAAUUGUCAAAAGGGAAGCGUUUGACACCAGUGUUGUUUUUCUGAAAAUCAAUUAAAGAACUGUUUAUGCUAAGCUGUUUAGACUUUAUCAGCUAACUGUUUAGUUUUGAGCUUUUCUUUAAUGCACUUUUCAGUUAACAAGUCAACAUCAAUUUCUUUUGCUGUAAAAAAGCUUGAGGAAGGUGGCUUGAGAUUCGUCUUAAGUGUUUAUAGCCUCUUGCCUAUGCAGUCGGAGAGAUUGAGGUCUGCAGCGUAGAUCCUUCGGGGCUAAAUGCAUUUGUGCUAAGUUAUAGCAUUUUAUAGACAACUUGUUGACUAUGAUUUGUCUUGUAGCUUACUCGCUUAUGUUAUUUUACCUACGCUUAGGAUGUUGAUCUGUAGUGCGUGCGC